rnacentral:tRNA from 1 species
GGGUCAGUCGUAUAAGGUCAUUACGGAAGGCUGUUAACCUUCUUGUAUCGUAUGGUUCGAGUCACGCUGGCCCGCCA